AUGAAGGAGUUGGUGAUUGAUAGCACAAGCACAUUUUUCAUAAACAGCAGAGAUUAUAGAAAUGCUAACUCUGGGGAUCUUGACUGUAUCAGUGCUGAGUCACUGCAUUUCCUAUAUUAUUUUAUACCAGUAGGGCUAAGAAGGCCCAGACACAAACACACAUCCACACACCUCCACCCUCACCCCCUACAGACAUCUGCCUCCUUGUUUUUUUCAUUGCAGCAAAUAGACAAGUCUCACCACCAUCACCACCAGCAUCCCAGGGCUGCUACAUACACUGACUGCUUUGGGAACAGGUUCCUCAAGAAUUGCGAUUGCUGCUUGCUAAAGGAGCUGAUGCCAGAUAUGGAAGGGGCUGCCCCUGCUCUUGGAAGAAAACUGCCUAGUUCUAGUCUUAGGAGUUCUGCCUCCAGGCCUAACUCCACCAGUCUCUCGGGCACAGGCUUUGUCCAAUCUCAGCCAAAGCUCCCUUUAUGCCCAGCUCCUGGAAACCCUUUCUAAACUUUGCCUCAAGUUCCCAAAUCUACGCAGGGUAAGAAGCCUUUCCCCACUCUCACACUGCCCUCUUCUGUUCAGAAAGUGAAAGAGCUCAAUUUAAGAAGCCUGGAUGGUGCCAGCCACCCAGGAAGACAAGAUCCUUGCCACCAGGCAGCAUGUCACCAUAGCAACCCUCAAAAUGGUUACCCAGCCAUCUGGGUAACCAUAGCAACUGGCCAAUUCUCUCCACCUCAGCCUCUCCCUAGGCCGUCUCCCCUGACUUAUGAGAACCAGUCCCAAAGAAUCUCCAGUCCUUACUGGUGGACAUGAACAGAGGUAGACCCCUGAAAGGCAGCUGUCCCAAGGGGCCUUGGAAUGCCUCACUCACCUGGGCUUCCCAGGCACAGUGGAGACAGUGGGUGUGAAGACACUCUGUGAACCUUGAAGUGCUGCACAGAUGUUAGCUAUCAUUACUCUACUGUUCCUUGGAAUGAAGGAGGCAGUGAGUUGCCCUAAAGCCAUUCCCUGCUUGGCCCUGACUGCCUGGGAGAUCUUGGGCAAGUUAGUGAACUCUUCAGGUGUCCACCUCCUUCCUCUACAGUAGCUCUCUGCCCCCUAAAGCUGUAUUGAAGAUGGGUCCAACACAACACGUGACGUGCCAAAAACAGUUGGCAUUAGGACCAUAACAAUACUAAUUAGAAAAGGUACUGGCCACUCUGAUGUUUCCCAGCCUCCGUGUGAAUAAAACUGCUGUAUUGUGCGUCUUGGAGGGGGCACCAUAGCUAACAUGAGCCUCACUCAACCACAUUCAAUUUCCCUUCCUGCUCUGGGGCAGGAGAAGGUUUCAUCCUGAGUGGGGUCCCCUGAGUGGGGUCCCCAGAGUUCCUACCAAGCAGGGCUGCAGGCAGUCUGCACCCUUUGGGCAGUUGGGAGGUUCCCCAAAC
rnacentral:lncRNA from 1 species